UACGGGAGGCAGCAGUGGGGAAUAUUGCACAAUGGGCGAAAGCCUGAUGCAGCUAUGCCGCGUGUAUGAAGAAGGCCUUAGGGGUUGUAAAGUACUUUCAUCGGGGAGGAAAAACAAAACUAAUAAUUUUAUUUCUUGACGUUACCCGAAAAAGAAGCACCGGCUAACUCCGUGCCAGCAGCCGCGGUAAUACGGAGGGUGCUAGCGUUAAUCAGAAUUACUGGGCGUAAAGAGCACGUAGGUGGUUUUUUUAAGUCAGAUGUGAAAUCCUGGGCUUAACCUAGGAACUGCAUUUUGAAACUGAAAUACUAGAGUAUCGUAGAGGGAGGUAGAAUUCUAGGUGUAGCGGUGAAAUGCGUAGAUAUCUGGAGGAAUACCUGUGGCGAAAGCGGCCUCCUAAACGAAUACUGACACUGAGGGUGCGAAAGCGUGGGGAGCGAAACAGGGAUUAGAUACC
rnacentral:rRNA from 1 species